rnacentral:rRNA from 1 species
UACGGAGGGGGCUAGCGUUGCUCGGAAUCACUGGGCGUAAAGCGCACGUAGGCGGACUCUUAAGUCAGGGGUGAAAUCCUGGAGCUCAACUCCAGAACUGCCUUUGAUACUGAAGAUCUUGAGUUCGGGAGAGGUGAGUGGAACUGCGAGUGUAGAGGUGAAAUUCGUAGAUAUUCGGAAGAACACCAGUGGCGAAGGCGGCUCACUGGACCGGCAUUGACGCUGAGGUGCGAAAGCGUGGGGAGCAAACAGG